GUAAAAAUCCAGGAAGCAGUUCUGCAUGAUGUGGCGGAGACAAAGGAAAUGAAGUUUGCUAAAGUAAAUGUUGAAAGCAUUAGGCUUAGGACAUUCUGAGGUGGCCUAUUCUUGCCUAGUAUAAGU